UCUGGAUGCCCUGCCCAAAACUUUUGCAAAUAGCCUGUUGCAGGGAAGUCAGCGGGGGCAAAGGGCAGAGGCAAAAGAACCUGGCUUCUCCACAACAGUGCCAAGCGGCUUAUGUUGCCGCCCUACGGUCUGUCCUCCUCUGCACUCCUAGACGCAGUGUGCUUCCGCGUGGGGAGUAGGAGAGAUGAGCCGGCAGAAGCAUGGAGCAACUGCACGACGUGGCCACAGGCCACAGGCCAAGAGGAGGAUAAUGGAGAAAAAUGGAUGGACUCAAGAUUCACGAGAGCCCAAAGCAAUCUGUUGAAGUGUAGAUCCGUUUCCCCAACAACCUCCUGGACAAACCUACUUGGAAUUCUCAGAAGCACCCCAAAUUCAACAUGCCAAAAACCGAAGUCAUCAUUGUGUUCACAAACCUAUU